rnacentral:rRNA from 1 species
GAUGAACGCUGGCGGCGUGCCUAAUACAUGCAAGUCGAGCGAACAGACGAGGAGCUUGCUCCUCUGACGUUAGCGGCGGACGGGUGAGUAACACGUGGAUAACCUACCUAUAAGACUGGGAUAACUUCGGGAAACCGGAGCUAAUACCGGAUAAUAUAUUGAACCGCAUGGUUCAAUAGUGAAAGACGGUUUUGCUGUCACUUAUAGAUGGAUCCGCGCCGCAUUAGCUAGUUGGUAAGGUAACGGCUUAUCAAGGCAACGAUGCGUAGCCGACCUGAGAGGGUGAUCGGCCACACUGGAACUGAGACACGGUCCAGACUCCUACGGGAGGCAGCAGUAGGGAAUCUUCCGCAAUGGGCGAAAGCCUGACGGAGCAACGCCGCGUGAGUGAUGAAGGUCUUCGGAUCGUAAAACUCUGUUAUUAGGGAAGAACAAAUGUGUAAGUAACUAUGCACGUCUUGACGGUACCUAAUCAGAAAGCCACGGCUAACUACGUG